GUGGGGAAUUUUGGACAAUGGGCGCAAGCCUGAUCCAGCAAUGCCGCGUGCAGGAAGAAGGCCUUCGGGUUGUAAACUGCUUUUGUACGGAACGAAACGGUCCGGGUUAAUACCCUGGGCUAAUGACGGUACCGUAAGAAUAAGCACCGGCUAACUACGUGCCAGCAGCCGCGGUAAUACGUAGGGUGCAAGCGUUAAUCGGAAUUACUGGGCGUAAAGCGUGCGCAGGCGGUUUUGUAAGACAGGCGUGAAAUCCCCGGGCUCAACCUGGGAAUUGCGCUUGGGACUGCAAGGCUGGAGUGCGGCAGAGGGGGAUGGAAUUCCGCGUGUAGCAGUGAAAUGCGUAGAUAUGCGGAGGAACACCGAUGGCGAAGGCAAUCCCCUGGGCCUGCACUGACGCUCAUGCACGAAAGCGUGGGGAGCAAACAGGAUUAGAAACCCUGGUAGUCC
rnacentral:rRNA from 1 species